rnacentral:lncRNA from 1 species
AAAUAUAAUUUUUCAUAUAGUCUAACAUAAUCAUAAUUUCAUAACUCAUACACCAUCAAAUAUUCAUGAAGGAUGCUCUUUAAUCAAAUUCAUGAAUCACAUGCAAUCAUAUACUUGAUCCUAAUUUUGAGAAAAAUAUAUCAUAACCGAUACAUUUUCAUAAUUGUAAAUAAACAGUAAUUUAAAAACUUUAAGAUCAAUGCCAAGGUUACUUACAUUGAUUCGCUCACGAAUCCCUAAGUACAGUUGGGCAACUCCACUGUACCUAUUAAUAUCAUAUAAAAUCAAUUAUUUGCUAUUCUCAACUUU